rnacentral:rRNA from 1 species
GAUGAACGCUGGCGGCGUGCCUAAUACAUGCAAGUCGAGCGAACAGACGAGGAGCUUGCUCCUCUGACGUUAGCGGCGGACGGGUGAGUAACACGUGGAUAACCUACCUAUAAGACUGGGAUAACUUCGGGAAACCGGAGCUAAUACCGGAUAAUAUAUUGAACCGCAUGGUUCAAUAGUGAAAGACGGUUUUGCUGUCACUUUUAGAUGGAUCCGCGCCGCAUUAGCUAGUUGGUAAGGUAACGGCUUACCAAGGCAACGAUGCGUAGCCGACCUGAGAGGGUGAUCGGCCACACUGGAACUGAGACACGGUCCAGACUCCUACGGGAGGCAGCAGUAGGGAAUCUUCCGCAAUGGGCGAAAGCCUGACGGAGCAACGCCGCGUGAGUGAUGAAGGUCUUCGGAUCGUAAAACUCUGUUAUUAGGGAAGAAAAAAUGUGUAAGUAACUAUGCACGUCUUGACGGUACCUAAUCAGAAAGCCACGGCUAACUACGUG